rnacentral:rRNA from 1 species
UACGAGGGGAGCUAGCGUUAUUCGGAAUUACUGGGCGUAAAGCGCACGUAGGCGGCUUUGUAAGUAAGAGGUGAAAGCCUGGAGCUCAACUCCAGAACUGCCUUUUAGACUGCAUCGCUUGAAUCCAGGAGAGGUGAGUGGAAUUCCGAGUGUAGAGGUGAAAUUCGUAGAUAUUCGGAAGAACACCAGUGGCGAAGGCGACUUACUGGACACAUAUUGACGCUGAGGUGCGAAAGCGUGGGGAGCAAACAGG